CCUUCGAUAGCUCAGUUGGAAGAGCGUGGGACUGUAAUGGCUACUUCACAUUACGUAAUGUGUUUACGUGAUAUGGCAUCCCAAGGUCACUGGUUCGAUCCCGGUUCGAAGGA